AACGAAGUGAAUUGAAAUAUCUUAGUAACUUUAGGAAAAGAAAUCAAACGAGAUUGUUAUUUGGUGUAAACUAAAUAACAAAAGCCUAGUAACAAAACUUGUUAAAGUAAAAUGGAUUAAAAUCUGUUUGAAUAAAGGGGAACCUUCCUCUAAGGCUAAAUAUAAUAUAUAAGCGAUAGUGAAUAGUACCGUGCGGUAAAAUUUGAAAUAGUAAUUUUAUAAGCAGCUCGAGUGAAAUUUAAAUAAAAAAUAAGAGCGUACCUUUUGCAUAAUGGGUCAGCAAGUUAAUUUUAGAUGCAAGCAAUGAUUUCUUGGUAAAAAGCCAAGAAACUAGCUUAGAUAAACCAAUUAUGAGAAAAUGAUUAAGUAUCUAGAAUUAGACCCGAAGACUAGUGAUCUUACCAUGGUCAGGGUUAUAAAAGCCCGAACGGGUUAUCGUUGUAUAGAUAUCCGAAGAAUUGUGGUAAGUUAGUGAAAGACAAAACUGACUAGUAUAGCUGGUUUUCCGCGAAACCUAUAUGAGUAGGUAAUUUAAUUAACAUCUUAGCAGGUACAGAACUGUGAUCUCGGACAAUAUCAAUUGAUUUUGUCAACAUCGGGGGGUUGUAGUGACUUUACCGGAGAGUAUUUGCACUCGGAAUGGCAAAGAUGAAUGUUAAAUAAUCGGACAUAGUGCGAUAAGGUUGUAUGUCUAAAGGGAAACAGCCCAGAACAAGAGUUAAGGUUCCAAAAUUAUUGUUGAGUGAAAUUAAGGAUGUUUUUUUUUAAUACAAUCAGGAAAUAGGCUUAGAAGCGGCCAUUUUUUGAAGACCUCGUAACAGAGCACUGAUUUAUUUUAGAGAAAAAUUCCGAAAAUUUAACGGAUCUAAAUAAUAUACCAAAACCUUGUACACAUUUUAAUAAAUAUUUAUAUUGUAUAUGUGGGGUAGCGGAACAUUGGAUUAAUAUAUUAUAUUAAUUCUUAUAAGAAUUAAUAAAUUUAAAUAAUUAUUAAUAAUAUUUUAUUAUUUUAUUUUAUUAUUAAUAUUAUUUUAUUUAUAUAAUCCAAGAGAGAAUGCUGACAUGAGUAACGAAAAAGGUUUAUCCUCGCCUUAAGCUUAUGGUAUUUUAUUUAAUUUUCGGUGUCUAAAAAUAUUAAUCAAAAGGUAAUUUUGAUGAUAUUUAUAUAUUAAUACUUCUAAGUAAAAAAACAAAACCUUUAAUAAGUAAUAAAGGUUCUGGAAAAUUUUUUUACUUAAUAUAAAUAUAAUAAGUCUUUUAAAUGUUUUUUUUUUGUAUUUAUUAUAUAACUUCUUGUUACAAGUUUUCAAGAUUGUAUAAUUUAAAUACAAUAUAAUAAAAAAAAUUAUAUUUAUAUAAAUUAUUGUAUAUUAAAGGCUGAUAUACAAAUAAGGUUAAUAUAUACCGUACCUAGAUACUAUCACAAGUAAGCAAGUAGAGAAUACAAAGGCGUUUGAGUGAACAAUCAUUAAGGAACUCGGCAAAUUGACUACCGUAACUUCGGGAUAAGGAGGGCCAUUAUUAUUAGUUUAACAUAUCUUAGGAUAUGAUUUAAUUAAACUAAUUUUAAGAGGAAUCAUGAAAUAAUGUUGUACGACUGUUUAAUAAAAACACAGCACUCUGCAAAGAUUAAAUAUCAAAGUAUUGAGUGUGAUGUCUGCCCAAUGUCGGCAGGGUAACGAAUUUACCUUGGUUUUUAACUAAGGUUUUGAAGGAUACCCCGAUUAAUGGCGGCCUUAUCUAUGAGGGUCCUAAGGUAGCGAAAUACCUUGGCCGUUAAAUGCGGUCCUGCAUGAAUGACUUAACGAUACAACAGCUGUCUCGAUGAUUGUCUCAGUGAAAUUGGAAUAGCAGUGCAGAUACUGUUUACCUCUAGAUAGACGAGAAGACCCUAUGCAGCUUUACUGUUACUAAUUGCAAGAGUUAAAAUACAGGAUGAUUGCGAGUGUAUAAGGUAAUUGUAUGAUAACAAUGAAACACCUUUAUUCGUUUCCUUUUAUACGCUUUUGAGGAUUAGAAGGCAGUUUAUGCGGGGCACAGAUCCCACAAAAAGUACCUGGGUAUAUCCAAAGUUCAUAUGUAAAUUUGUAAAUUUAUUUACAAUUAUUUUAAUUUGUUAUAUUUAUUUUUAUAUUUAUACAGUUAUUCUUAGAUUAAAUUCAAUAUUUAUUUUUUUUUUAAGUAAGAUUUUAACUAUAUGGUAAAUAGAUGUAUUUUAAACUUUAAUUUUUUAAAAGUUUUUUUUUCAUAUUAAUAUCUGAGAUUAACCUUUAUUAAUAUGAUAAUUAUUUAUACUUAAAUGUUUAAUGGCUAAAUCUUGCUUUACUGUUUGACCUACAAGUCUAUCAGUCGCGUAAGCGGGGCAUAUGAUCACAAGAUGCAUUAAGGAAAGGUCUUGGAUUAUAGAAAAAGUUACGCUAGGGAUAACAGGCUAAUUUGCGCAAGAGAGUACAAAUUGAGUGCGCGGUUUGGCACCUCGAUGUCGGCUUAGCUCAUCCACAUGAAUGCAAAAAUCAUGAAGGGUUCGACUGUUCGUCGAUUAAAGAGCUACAUGAGCUGGGUUUAAUACGUCGUGAGACAGUAUGGUUUCUAUCUUCUAGAGGGAAUUAAAGUAGAAUAAGGAUAGCCCCUUCGUACGAAAGGAGUUGGGUAUAUUGACCUAUGGUUUACCUGUUGUUUAUGCUAUAUAUAUAUAUAAUAUAUUAUAUCAUUUACUUAUACUUAAGUAAAUGUUCACAUAGGCAUGGCAGGAAGGCUACGUCAGUUAAAGAUAAGUGCUGAAAGCAUUUAAGCGCGAAGCUUACUUUAGGAUACUUUUAAACGUAGAAGAACACUACGAA
rnacentral:rRNA from 1 species